rnacentral:rRNA from 1 species
AUUGAACGCUGGCGGCAGGCCUAACACAUGCAAGUCGAACGAGUGGCGGACGGGUGAGUAAUGUCUGGGAAACUGCCUGCUGGAGGGGGCUAACUACUGGAAACGGUAGCUAAUACCGCAUACCAUCAGAUGUUCCCAGAUGGGAUUAGCUCGUUGGUGGGGUAACGGCUCACCAAGGCGACGAUCCCUAGCUGGUCUGAGAGGAUGACCGGCCACACUGGAACUGAGACACGGCCCAGACUCCUACGGGAGGCAGCAGUAGGGAAUAUUGCACAAUGGGCGCAAGUCUGAUCCAGCCAUGCCGCGUGAGUGAAGAAGGUUUGCGGGUUGUAAAGCACUUUCAGCGGGGAAGCGGUAUCUGCAGAAGAAGCACCGGCUAACUCCGUGCCAGCAGCCGCGGUAAUUC